rnacentral:rRNA from 1 species
GACGAACGCUGGCGGCGUGCCUAAUACAUGCAAGUCGAACGAACCGCGACUGAGUGCUUGCACUUGGUCAAGGUGAGUGGCGAACGGGUGAGUAACACGUGGGUAACCUACCUCAUAGUGGGGGAUAACAGUCGGAAACGACUGCUAAUACCGCAUAGGACAUAGGAUCACAUGAUCCAGUGAGGAAAGGUGGCGCAAGCUAUCGCUACGAGAUGGACCCGCGGUGCAUUAGCUAGUUGGUAGGGUAAAGGCCUACCAAGGCGAUGAUGCAUAGCCGACCUGAGAGGGUGAUCGGCCACACUGGGACUGAGACACGGCCCAAACUCCUACGGGAGGCAGCAGUAGGGAAUCUUCCGCAAUGGACGCAAGUCUGACGGAGCAACGCCGCGUGAGUGAAGAAGGUCUUCGGAUCGUAAAGCUCUGUUGUUAGAGAAGAACAGCGCAUAGAGUAACUGCUAUGCGUGUGACGGUAUCUAACCAGAAAGCCACGGCUAACUACGUG